rnacentral:rRNA from 1 species
AUACGGAAGGUCCGGGCGUUAUCCGGAUUUAUUGGGUUUAAAGGGAGCGCAGGCGGAGAUGCAAGCGUGACGUCAAAUUUCGGGGCUCAACCCCGUCUCGCGUCGCGAACUGCGUCCCUUGGUUGCGGGAAGGGGAGGCGGAACUCGUGGUGUAGCGGUGAAAUGCAUAGAUAUCACGAAGAAAUCCGAUCGCGAAGGCAGCCUUCCGGCCCGUCAACGACGCUCAUGCUCGAAGGUGCGGGUAUCAAACAGGAUUAGAUACCCUGGUAGUCCGCACAGUAAACGAUGGACACCCGCGGUUUGGCCUGUAUGGCUGAGCCGCCAAGCGAAAGCGUUAAGUGUCCCACCUGGGGAGUACGCCGGCAACGGUGAAACUCAAAGGAAUUGGCGGGG